UACGUAGGUGGCGAGCGUUGCCCGGAUUUACUGGGCGUAAAGGGAGCGUAGGCGGGCUUUUAAGUGAGAUGUGAAAUACCCGGGCUCAACUUGGGUGCUGCAUUUCAAACUGGAAGUCUAGAGUGCAGGAGAGGAGAAUGGAAUUCCUAGUGUAGCGGUGAAAUGCGUAGAGAUUAGGAAGAACACCAGUGGCGAAGGCGAUUCUCUGGACUGUAACUGACGCUGAGGCUCGAAAGCGUGGGGAGCAAACAGGAUUAGAUACCCU
rnacentral:rRNA from 1 species